rnacentral:rRNA from 1 species
UACGGGGGGGGCAAGCGUUGUUCGGAAUUACUGGGCGUAAAGGGCUCGUAGGUGGCCAACUAAGUCGGACGUGAAAUCCCUCAGCUUAACUGGGGAACUGCGUCCGAUACUGGAUGGCUUGAGUUUGGGAGAGGGAUGCGGAAUUCCAGGUGUAGCGGUGAAAUGCGUAGAUAUCUGGAGGAACACCGGUGGCGAAGGCGGGUCUCUGGGCAACAACUGACGCUGAGGAGCGAAAGCGUGGGGAGCGAACAGG